rnacentral:tRNA from 1 species
UGUGGCUCAGCAGUAGAGCACCUGCCUGGCAUGCAUGAGGCCUUGGGUUCCAUUCCCAGCA